rnacentral:tRNA from 3 species
GCCCCCGUAGCUCAGCUGGUCAGAGCAGGGAACUCAUAAUUCUUUGGUCGCCGGUUCAAGUCCGGCCGGGGGCA